rnacentral:rRNA from 2 species
CACCGCGGUUAUACGAGAGGCCCAAAUUGAUAGACGUCGGCGUAAAGGGUGGUUAUGAUCCCACAAAAUAAAGUCAAAUGCCCUCAAGGCUGUUAUACGCACCCGAAGGUAAGAAGCUCAACUACGAAAGUGACUUUAAGAACUCUGACCCCACAAAAGCUGUGACA